rnacentral:rRNA from 1 species
CAGUCGCCACGGUAAUACGUAGGGUGCGAGCGUUAAUCGGGAUUACUGGGCGUAAAGCGUGCGCAGGCGGUUCGUUAAGACAGAUGUGAAAUCCCCGGGCUUAACCUGGGAACUGCAUUUGUGACUGGCGAGCUAGAGUAUGGCAGAGGGGGGUAGAAUUCCACGUGUAGCAGUGAAAUGCGUAGAGAUGUGGAGGAAUACCGAUGGCGAAGGCAGCCCCCUGGGCCAAUACUGACGCUCAUGCACGAAAGCGUGGGGAGCAAACAGGAUUAGAUACCCGCGUAGUCCCUGUCUCUUAUAC